GACGAACGCUGGCGGCGUGCCUAAUACAUGCAAGUAGAACGCUGAAGGAGGAGCUUGCUUCUCUGGAUGAGUUGCGAACGGGUGAGUAACGCGUAGGUAACCUGCCUGGUAGCGGGGGAUAACUAUUGGAAACGAUAGCUAAUACCGCAUAAUAGCAGUUGUUGCAUGACAACUGUUUGAAAGGUGCAAUUGCACCACUACCAGAUGGACCUGCGUUGUAUUAGCUAGUUGGUGGGGUAACGGCUCACCAAGGCGACGAUACAUAGCCGACCUGAGAGGGUGAUCGGCCACACUGGGACUGAGACACGGCCCAGACUCCUACGGGAGGCAGCAGUAGGGAAUCUUCGGCAAUGGACGGAAGUCUGACCGAGUAACGCCGCGUGAGUGAAGAAGGUUUUCGGAUCGUAAAGCUCUGUUGUAAGAGAAGAACGAGUGUGAGAGUGGAAAGUUCACACUGUGACGGUAUCUUACCAGAAAGGGACGGCUAACUACGUG
rnacentral:rRNA from 1 species